AACGAACGCUGGCGGCAGGCCUAACACAUGCAAGUCGAACGCCCCUUCGGGGGAGUGGCAGACGGGUGAGUAACGCGUGGGAAUCUUCCUAUUGGUUCGGAAUAACCCAGGGAAACUUGGGCUAAUACCGGAUGGUCCCUUCGGGGUAAAGGUUUAUUGCCAACAGAUGAGCCCGCGGCUGAUUAGCUCGUUGGUGAGGUAAUGGCGCACCAAGGCGACGAUCAGUAGCUGGGCUGAGAGGAUGACCAGCCAAACUGGGACUGAGACACGGCCCAGACUCCUACGGGAGGCAGCAGUGGGGAAUAUUGGACAAUGGGCGCAAGCCUGAUCCAGCCAUGCCGCGUGAGUGAAGAAGGCCUUAGGGUUGUAAAGCUCUUUCCAUCGUGAAGAUAAUGACGGUAGCGAUAGAAGAAGCCCCGGCUAACUCCGUGCCAGCCGCCGCCGUAA
rnacentral:rRNA from 1 species